GAUGAACGCUGGCGGCGUGCCUAAUACAUGCAAGUCGAGCGAACGGACGAGAAGCUUGCUUCUCUGAUGUUAGCGGCGGACGGGUGAGUAACACGUGGAUAACCUACCUAUAAGACUGGGAUAACUUCGGGAAACCGGAGCUAAUACCGGAUAAUAUUUUGAACCGCAUGGUUCAAAAGUGAAAGACGGUCUUGCUGUCACUUAUAGAUGGAUCCGCGCUGCAUUAGCUAGUUGGUAAGGUAACGGCUUACCAAGGCAACGAUGCAUAGCCGACCUGAGAGGGGGUGCGCCCCCACUCGAGAAGAGACACAGGCCAGACCCUCCCGGGGGGGAGAGCAGUGGGAACUCCUCCAAAGGGGGAGAACCCGACAGGGAGACGCGGCGUGUGUGAGGAAGAUGUCUGGGGCGUAAAACUCUCUUUUUUGGGGAAAAAAUAUAUGUAAAUAAAACUGCGCACCUCGAGGGGGUCCAUACAGAAAACCCCGCCGAAAUCUAC
rnacentral:rRNA from 1 species